rnacentral:lncRNA from 1 species
UCAAAUCCACCCUUACUAUUUCAAAAUAAUAAAUAAAGGAAAUUCCUUUUUAUUUAAAAAAAUUUCGGGGUCUUACAACCUCCCCUCCUUAUGAAAUUUCGUCCUCGAAAUUGACGUACGUACCUGGUGUUUCGAAAAGAUGAAAAUACCUCGCUUUCAUUUUCGUUUCCAACUCCCAGGUUAUUUCCUCAAUAGCAUGGUUUCUCCACAAAACUUUAACUUGUGGUAUAACCUCGGUACAUAGGACAUGUUCUUUCCUAUCCAAN